rnacentral:rRNA from 1 species
CAGUCGCCACGGUAAAACGUAGGUGGCAAGCGUUGUCCGGAAUUAUUGGGCGUAAAGGGCCCGCAGGCGGUUUCUUAAGUCUGAUGUGAAAGCCCCCGGCUCAACCGGGGAGGGUCAUUGGAAACUGGGAAACUUGAGUGCAGAAGAGGAGAGUGGAAUUCCACGUGUAGCGGUGAAAUGCGUAGAGAUGUGGAGGAACACCAGUGGCGAAGGCGACUCUCUGGUCUGUAACUGACGCUGAGGAGCGAAAGCGUGGGGAGCGAACAGGAUUAGAGACCCGAGUAGUCCCUGUCUCUUAUAC